rnacentral:rRNA from 1 species
UACGUAGGUGGCAAGCGUUACUCGGAAUCACUAGGCGUAAAGCGCAGGUAGGCGGUUGGAUAAGUUUCUUGUAAAAGCUCCCGGCUUAACUGGGAGGGGCCAAGGAAUACUAUCUGACUAGAGUGUGGUAGGGGUAACUGGAAUUCCCGGUGUAGCGGUGAAAUGCGUAGAUAUCGGGAGGAAUACCUAUGGCGAAGGCAGGUUACUGGGCCAUCACUGACGCUGAGCUGCGAAAGCUAGGGGAGCAAACAGG